UGACCUACCAUUCUUCCCUUGCAAAUCUUGUUCUCUCGCGAUGAUGGCGGGACGUGUGGCAACUGCCAGAGGGCAAUGGCAACAGCGAGGGAGCGGUAUUGACGCAUCCACGGGGAUGCGUCUCGAAGAUCCUGCGUCGGGCAAAGAUGGCGGGACGUGCAGCUCCGGCAACGGCGUGUGGCGCCCUUGGUGAUGGUGGAAAGCCACGUCUGCGACGUGAGCUCGAUGAGAUCACGCAAGCCUAGGACUAGGUAGCCCUUGAAAUGGCUUCACCGUGCCCAGUUCAGGAUGGAGCGCUUCAACAACGAUGGCCGAGUGCUCCUGCGGGGAAAUGAAAAGGGCAGCAAUGGACCUGCAGAUGAAUCCGGAAGGCUGGGAUAGGCAUCCUCAGGAGCUGCUGUACAGGAUCCACACGAAUUUAUUCUAAACCUAGAGUUCAUCACACGUUCCGGUCCACUGCUGUCCCACACUCCCCAGCCAAAGGUCCCGCAUCUCCUUUCCUCCUCAAAUUGAUGAAAAACGCAAACUAAUUAGUUUCCUAAUAAUCUUUUCAAUGCAACAUGAUGAUCAUAUUCACUAUGUUUCUCAGUUUGGUAUUCCAAGGGAACAUGUGAGUGUAAGCAAAAUUAAUUUACAUGUUGUUUGUUGCAUCUACAGAGGUUUAUGCAGGUUAACACGGCUGUCAUUCCGAAGAGCGUGACGAAGGGCAGAUCUGAGACCUGCGCAAGAAACGUUAAUGUCCCCUGGAACACCCCAACAUGGCAUACACGUAAAAGUUGUGCAUAGAGACAUUCGCUCAAUUCUUUUCAUCCAUUUUUCUUUUGGGAGAAGUAGAGCAUUUUCAACUUUCAGGUGGAUUGGAUACUUUUCUGGACAGUGUGGUUAGUAUCAAAUCACCAGAUUGAAGAAUGUAGUGAUAGGAUGUGUUGUUCUUGACAAAGGUACCAUAGGGACAUUUCUGAAGACUACUCAUGUUCGGAAAAGAGUAAUCGAUUCUUUUCCUAUUCCUCUUGAUUUCCCCCAGUAAUAUUGCCUCAAUUUGA